ensembl:snoRNA
CCCCUUCUAAAAAGCACUUUCUUUGUCUGGCCAGUGGCUCGGUGAGUUGUCGAAGAAGGGGAUAUUACUUCAUCACUGUGGGUGAGAUGGCAGCGUAACUGUGGCUGACUAAUCUCAAUCAGUGAUGAGACAAAC